UUUGACUCAAGACGGGAAACCUUACUAGGUCCAGAAAUAGUAAGUAUUUCUUGAUUCUAUGGGUGGUGUGCAUGGUUAUUCUUAGUUGGUGGAGCGAUUUGUCUGGUUAAUUCCGUUAGCAAACAAGACCUCAGCCUGCUAACUAGCUAUGCGGAGGUAUCCCUUCGCGACCACUUCUUUGAGGGACUCCAGCCUUUUAGGCCGCGGAAAUUUGAAACCAUCCACUAAAUAAUAGGUUUGUUUCAUGCAAUGUUUUAG
rnacentral:ncRNA from 2 species